CCUCCCUAUCUCUUUUCUCACAGUUGUUAACAAUGAUACGAUGCAAUAAAAUUUGAAGUUUUUUUUUUUUUAAUUAAUAAUCCGGUAAUGGACACUUGGAGACCUCUAUCAUUCUUAACUAUAAACACUUGAAUUACAGACUAUUCCAGGCUCUUAAUAGCUCUUUUCUCGACUAAAAUCUUACGAAAAAAGUCCUGGGAAAAUCGAAGGGAUACGAAAAAUCUUCUAUGGUGAUUCUCUCGUGGAAACGGAAGUGGAUCAUCCGUGUUGUAACGAAGUUCAAACCGCCAUUGCCAUUUCGCGUUAUUCGUCAUUCAUCAUCGGCCAUUCUGUGUCCCCUCCUUCGAGUUGUUGUUUGAAUUUUUGCAUGCAUCCUCUGGACAAAUAAAAAAAAAAAAAAAAAGUAUAUAGAAAUAAGAGAAAAAAAAAUCAACAAAAUAUAAUUGUUGGCCUGGAAAAAAAAAUCGCUCCUAAUCGAAGAAGUUGUCCCCGACACUUUUUUUUGCUAACCCCUGCCUGCUGGUGUGUGAAAACUAUUCAGUCACAGUGUAAAAGCGAACGUGAUCGGAGGAGAUUCCACAUGUGGAUCGUUCAGUGGCACCGCCAGUGACGCCGCCGAAAUAAAGCUCGGGAACACGAUAGGACGAAAAUCGACACCAAGUCCGGACACAGAGAAAAUUAUCGUCAGAAUGGCACUUAAAACAACAACACCCACCCAAUGCGACAAGAACCCGCAAGCUGACCGAUGGGAUCGAGCCGGAAACAGAUAUAUAUAUAUAUAUAUCUUACGACACAUCAUCGACACGUAAUACAUUGACACACGCAAACGCACACACAGAUUUAUACACACACGCAUAUGUAUUUACACACUCGUUACAAUCGCAAACAACACGAGGAUAUAUUAUCGUUAGGGAAAAAAGAGAUAGAGAAUGGGGCGCGUUUUUUUUCGUUGAGAGUCGAUAAGAAAAUUUGUACGUUUUCUUUUUUUUUUAUUUAUUUAUUUAUUUUUUUUUUUUUUUUGGUUGAAACGAGUAUGGCGAGUAAUUUCCAGAGAAAUUUAAUGGGAGGAUCCCGAAGUGUGUCUGGGUUCUGGGUGUUAAUUUCGUUCGCUGUUCUUGAAAACUUAGGAAGAAGAAGAAGAAUCCGUGUUGUUCACCUUUUCGAGAGAGAGAAAAUGAAAAAGACGUUAAAUAACAUAGGAAAAGACAAGUAUGUAUCGAUGAAACGUGUCGAUAUUUCAAAUACUGGUCGAUCGUUGUUGUGCAUUAGUUAAAAAUACGUUUGAAGCUUUAUCUUUAGAUACAGAAGAAAAUGAAGUAACGUAUCUCUUGCUAUACUCGUUUUACCGAUCAUGCUCAAUAUAUCGCGCCCUGGUUAGAAAGGAAGGUUGAAAGGGGGAGGGAAGAAAAGAGAUGCACACUUUCGAAGGGAGAAAAGGGGUGUGUUAUCCACUCGUCAUCCACUCGAUGACGACGGUUGUUUCUUGAUUGAGUAGGAUAGAGAGGAAAAAUUAUGGACAAAAAUUAAAGGGAAGAAAGGAAAUUGAAAUGAAAAAUGACGCUUCGAGAAGGGUUUGAGUUCUCGACGCGUUUCGAGGAGGAAAAAUUAAUAUAAUAAAAUGUUGAACGUCUAAUCGGAGCAGCUUGCCACGGUUUGUCCACUCGAGAGAUCGAACGAGGGAGAGACGUUGAAUAAAUUGGUGUUUAAGGAUCGAAUUAAUCGAUGUGCGCCUGUGUUAUUAUGUUGCAGUAAGCGAAACGGUCGUCGACAAGUGGGCCUAGCCUUGUCUCGCCGUGUGCCGCCGGCAACAAAAUUCCUCUGCCAGUAACAUCGAGCCGACUAAACCAGAGAAAGAGAAAGAGAGAGAUAUUAAUUAAUAAUAAUAAUAAAUAACGUAAGGAGAAAAAGCAAGGAGAGAAAAGGGGAGACACGGAGAAGGAGCAAGCAAGGGGCCGAGAAAUGGAAUGGAAAGAGGAGGGAUCUUGUGUGUGGAUAAGUGGUUUCGGAGGUGUAUCGAUGAAAUUUCAGAAAAAAAUUCGCGCAAAAGGAGGGAUGCAACGAUGUUCGAGAAAAUUGAAAUGAUUUUUCCUUUCUUUUUCUUUUUCUUUUUUUUUUUUUUCGAUUCAAAUUGAUUCGCGCGGUUGGACAAUGAUGUCCAUGAUGGCAAGGGAACCAUUUUAUUCGUCCACAUCCAUCCCGAUUUCCCUGGCUGGCUACCGCACUGCCGCUACUUUUCCGUUUCGUCGUCUACGAAUCCAAGAGAGAAACUUUGCUCGCUUUGUGCUUCUUGCUCUUCGCGUAUACAGAAUCCAAAUAUGUUGUAUGCAUCUAUAUGAUAUAUAAAUGACGAGGAAGAGGAAAUUGUUUCUAAAAUGGGAUAUCGAAUCGAUGGUUUAUAUGUGGUUUAACAUGUGGAUAAAAUAUGGAUGGAAAAAAGGAAGAAAAAUUGAAUGUUUCGAGUCGUUUGAUCGAUAAUAUGGUUUUUUCUUUUUUUUCUUUUUAACAGUUGCAAUUCUUCCUCAACAUUGGUAGAAUUUCUAUCGACGCAUACACGAUUUCUUUUUUAAUUUUUUUUUUUAAUCAAUUCGUGUCCAAUCGAAGAGAAAUUAUAAUCGAUUUCGUUCUUUUUCUCUUCUCCUCGCUUCUUUUUCCUUCCAUCCAUUCCUUUUUUUUUCUUCCUCGAUCUUCUUCAUUUUCUCUCUCUCUCUUUCUUUCUCUUCAUUUCCACUUCUUCUCUCUGAUCGUGCUUUUUUAUCGCCAACGAUGCUAAUUUAACGCCCUGAAAGACUCUUCUAUCGAUAAGAAACGCACAUCUCUAAUCGUCGUCCGGAAAAAAUUUUGAACAUACAAUUCAAGAUUUAUUGGAAAGAUACGGAUCGGAUGAACAUCAGACGAGCAUCGAGAUUAUUUUCCUCGGAAAUGAUCGUCACGAUGAUUCCAGUUCUCUGCCAAUAAGGAAACCCUCCCUUAUCAAGGUCAUCGUGUAUCGAGUCUACGACCAUCGAGAGAUUUCGAUCGAGAGAUCAAAGCGAGAACAAUUGGAAACGAUGACGAUAAGUGGAUUAAUUGACUUGAAAGGAGAACGGCGGCAGAAACGAUGGAAAAGCAAGUGAGAAUCGAAGAAGCGUUACCUCCCUUUUGUCGUUGGACCGAGUGGUACGCGCGUUUUCUUUUUUUUUUUUUUAGGACGAAUGUAAAAAAAUUUAAACGGCGUAUUUUGACGUACGUGCAAGUGACGUAACUUUCGAUGGAGUCUUCCAGCGAACCGUAAUUCUAAAAAGAAAUGGAAUUUGAUCGCGGAAGCCUCUCGAUGCUCGCGAAACUUACGUCGCUAGAGGAAGGAAUAGAUGAAAAAGAAAAAAAUAUAUAUAUAUAUAUACAUAGAGAGAGAAAAGGAGGAGAAAAUAAAAUCGACGAAGCUCGCGAGAUUUAACCAUUGUACAUAUAAAGAAAAUGUAAAGAGUAUCGCGUUGUGACAGACGCGAUGUUGAAGAAAGAGAAAUUGAUUAAUUAUUAUAUAUAAUAUAAUUAAGAGAGAGACAUUAAAUAUACAUAAUAUAUACAUAUAUUUUUCUUCGUGAAGAAAGCGCACAGACAAAAACCAAGCGUAAAAAAAAAAAAAACCUCUCGUACAGUCGAACGAACGCCUCUCGAGCGAGAAGGAUUCGAGAUUCGACAGAAACGGAAGUAUAACAGAAAUGCCCUCUGUGCCUUUUCUUUAUCACCUUCGUUUCCUGAUUUUUUCUUCUUUCGAGUUUAUUCGGUUUAAUAUUAAGAUGGAAUUAACUGCCUGUGAAUAUUCUGAUUGUUAGGAAGAAAGAGAAAAAAAAAAAGAGAUUUAUCUUUCUUUUACCUUGAUUCCUUUUUCUCUUCGAUUUUGUCUUCCUAUUUCUUGCCGUCAAGACCGAUGGAGAAUGUCGCCACCUGACGAGAGUUUUAUUUCUUCUUUUUUUGGAGUCUUCCAGCGAACCGUAAUUCUAAAAAGAAAUGGAAUUUGAUCGCGGAAGCCUCUCGAUGCUCGCGAAACUUACGUCGCUAGAGGAAGGAAUAGAUGAAAAAGAAAAAAAUAUAUAUAUAUAUAUACAUAGAGAGAGAAAAGGAGGAGAAAAUAAAAUCGACGAAGCUCGCGAGAUUUAACCAUUGUACAUAUAAAGAAAAUGUAAAGAGUAUCGCGUUGUGACAGACGCGAUGUUGAAGAAAGAGAAAUUGAUUAAUUAUUAUAUAUAAUAUAAUUAAGAGAGAGACAUUAAAUAUACAUAAUAUAUACAUAUAUUUUUCUUCGUGAAGAAAGCGCACAGACAAAAACCAAGACGUAAAAAAAAAAAAAACCUACUCGUACAGUCGAACGAACGCCUCUCGAGCGAGAAGGAUUCGAGAUUCGACAGAAACGGAAGUAUAACAGAAAUGCCCUCUGUGCCUUUUCUUUAUCACCUUCGUUUCCUGAUUUUUUCUUCUUUCGAGUUUAUUCGGUUUAAUAUUAAGAUGGAAUUAACUGCCUGUGAAUAUUCUGAUUGUUAGGAAGAAAGAGAAAAAAAAAAAAGAGAUUUAUCUUUCUUUUACCUUGAUUCCUUUUUCUCUUCGAUUUUGUCUUCCUAUUUCUUGCCGUCAAGACCGAUGGAGAAUGUCGCCACCUGACGAGAGUUUUAUUUCUUCUUUUUUUCUCUCUCUCUCUCUUUUUCUUUUUCUCAAAAGAAAGAGUUUGUUUCAAAGACAACGUUCGAUAAUUUCGACAGAACGAUAACGGUAAAAAAGUAUCUUUCUCUCGUUAAUUUUUCGUUGUGUCCCCCUUCGUUCAGACAUUAUCCCUCGUGUCAUGAUGGUGGCGGUGAUGAAUCCGAGUGAAAACGCUCGAACAUAACCUAGAAUUCGAUUAUUUCCACUAUCCGUGCCAGGAGGACAGAGUGAUUCGUAAUUUGUUUGCAAGAUUGUUUUUUUUUUUUUUUACGUGAGAUUGUACGAAAAAAAGUAACAUCCUAUACUGGCCAAGCUAGAUUCCGGUGAAAAUAUAUUGUUUCUAGGGUUAAAUAAUAAACUUUAUUCUCUUAAACUGUAAGAUAAAUUUUAGACGUACGAAAAGAGGAAAGAGAAAUCGAAUUUAGAAAUUCCAAGUAUUAGAAUACUAUUUGCUGAUAAAUUAUGUAACAACGUGGCAAUAAGUACAUACAUAAAUAUCAUACAAGAUAUGUAACGUAUAUAAGGUAUCUUUGCAUUUUUGGCUAAUAGUGUAAACUGUGAAAUUUUUAAACACGUUUUGAUAAAAAUCAUCGAUGCACCGAACCGAGAGGCAAUCGAUGACCCCAUCUAUCGGGUCAAUUAUUAACAAAGGCGUUGAAACGUGCAACGAUACCGUUUAACAACAAAGCAACAUACAUAAUUUUCAUUUCGAGUUGUUCGAUCUUUUCAGCUCGCUUUUUUAAACUCUUCUAUAUUUAACUCUGCCUUUCUAUAUUCUAUCUUCUACGUAUCGUUACUUGUUACCGCUUUUUCAAAUUAUCUUUCAUAGCUAGCUAUUAAAACUUCACACACAAACUUCAUGAGGUCUUUAAAAAUAAGAAACGAUAAUUAUCUUGUUAAAUUUAGUAUAAAGUAAGUUAAGUGCAUUGUCGCGAUAAUUAUUGAAAGACACGAGUAAAAUCGAGGAGAAUUACCUAUUAAAAAAGAAAAAAAAAGACAA